GGGAUUAUAGUUAAAAAUAACAUUUGAGUUGCAUUCAAAAAGUACUAUUUGAAUAGUUAAUCUCA
rnacentral:tRNA from 3 species